rnacentral:guide_RNA from 1 species
AUUAAACAAAAAGAAAUCACGUGAAAGAUAGAAUAGAGAUAU